AUGGCGUCGGCGGCGAGCAGGAAGGCGCCGUCGCUGGUGGUGGCGGCGACCGUGGGCGCCGUGGAGGCGCUCAAGGACCAGGCGGGCCUGUGCCGCUGGGGCUACCCGCUCCGCUCGCUCUACCGCCGCGCCGCCGCCGCGCCCAGGGUCCGCGCCCUGUCCGCCUCGCUCUCCGAUGCCGCCGCCGCUCCCCGGCCGGCGCCUUUGUCCGCGGAGGACGCGAAGCUGCGCAAGGCGCACCACCUCGUCUGCUGGGGGCCCAACUGA
rnacentral:rRNA from 1 species